rnacentral:ribozyme from 3 species
GCUGGUCACGGCCAGUAUAAACAGACAUUAAGCCGUGAGCGUCUCCUGUUCUGUGAACGGGAGGGUUGUA